GUGAAUGAUGAUAUGCACUGGGCUCUGAGCAGUUUUAAACUGCACUAUGGAUGGAAAUGCAUAGCCUAGAAAGCUUUAUCUGACCC
rfam:Medicago truncatula strain A17 chromosome 6, whole genome shotgun sequence.